CAGGGAGGCUACCUGGAAAACAGGACCCCAAGAAAGACACGGGGAUCACCCAAUGAUGGAGAAAUGGAUGAGAUCUACAUGAACAGCCUGGACUUGAGUCAGGUUGGUUCUAAAGUUACCAAACUCUCUCAACUUGGAUCCUCAAUCAUCCCAUAAGGCCUGAAAGUCAGCAAGACUGAAGAAGGCCCUAGACAGUUCUACAUCCAAUUUUAGCUCUGGUAAAAGCAGAUGUCUAGCCACCUUACAGAUGGAAUUUGUGGCUCCUUCACUCUCCCCCAUGUAAAGGAGAGAAGUUCCUACCAGACUGCUCUCAGGAGAACAGAUCCCCAGCUCUCCAGAGCUCGAAAUCAAGGACAGAAUGGAUGUGAUGAGAGCGGAGUGGGAAGGGCCAAUCUGUCAGCACGUAAGCCUGGGUCUUUCCGGCUCAGGGCCACGAACCAAACCUUAUAUGGAGGGUGCUGAGGAAAGCAGGACAGAAAGAAAGCCACAGUGUGGACAUCUGCAGCCACCAGGUCUCUUCUCACUGUCCCAGCCGAGUCACCCAUCAGGUACCUUUCAAGUUACUGACCUCCACCUGGGCCAGACGCUGAAUCAAACAAGAGUGCGAUGCUUGUCUCUCUGCCGUGCUUGUGAAGUCUCUGUGAACAAUAAAAUGACUGCAACAGAGAAUAUUUUAUGACUGUUUUCAGGGGCAUUUCUUCAAGAAAAAUUAAUGUCACAUUUAGGUUUGGAAAAAUUCUGUUUAUGCAUUUAUUUUUUAAAAUUAGCACUCUCUGUUGAUGGGUCCUGAAAGCUCCUAAAGCAUUUGCAAGGCUCGUGGCAGUGACCACUCUCAGGAGUAAUGAUAUUCCAUGACUCUGUGCCAGGAGGGUAAAUCACAGAGGAAGUCAUACUGACAGCGUAAGAACUGGAGUCAUUAACUCUGGACCUGCAACCUGUGUCAAAAGGACCUGACUGCAGGGCAGAGCAGCAGAAGCCUUCUCCCUUCUAGGCACUCAUCUCACCUGAGCUCUAAAGAUAGUUCACCCUUUCCUUUGUCAGACGCCGAGAUGCAAGUGUCUCCAGUAUCCAUUGGAAUGACUGCUUAGCACUCUCUUCUCUAAAUAGUGCGCUGACUCAGAAAGCCUUGUGUACAUGGAUAUUUUGAGCCAUACUCUCCCAGUGUGGAAACUCCUUAGGAUUACAUCAGGCUCUGGAGAAAGAAUUAACUUCCAGGCCUGCAGAACAGCAUCAAAUACCUACUUUUAAAUAACAAAUAAAUGAGUGAUGAAAGCAGAUUGUAUACUCUCAUCUUCCAAAAUUUUAUUCCCAACCUAACAGCCAAAAUGGUACUCUUACACAAAGUCAUGUAUUGUUCAAUUCUCCCAGUGCAUUGAUGUUGCUAGGAACAUCACCAGGAAUGCACUUAAAGGCUGUGAGGCACCACUGUUGCCCUUCAGUUUCUUUUUGAUCCCAUUUCCUACCGUCCCUCGCUCCCUCUCACCUCUCUCCUCACCUCACCUUCCUUUGGCCACACUUCCUUCUUCUGGUUCCUCAAACACCUACACAUGGAGCCCUGCCCCAGGACCUCUGCAAUGGCAAAGCCCUCUACUAGGAAUGAUCUUCUCUCAUAUCCAUGUUGCUGGCUUCCUCACCUAAUUUCAUGUCUUAGUUCAAAUAGCUUUUUAAUGAAACUCACUGUGACUUAAAUCACAGUUCACACUCAAUCAUCCUUGCUCAAUUCUUUUUAUCUUCUCCCAAACUUCCAGUUUUCUUUUUUUUUAAUUUUGUAAAAUUCAUUUUACAUACCAAUCACAGAUCUCCCUCUUAUC